rnacentral:rRNA from 1 species
CAAAAGCGUAUAUUAAAGUUGUUGCAGUUAAAAAGCUCGUAGUUGAACCUUGGGCUUGGCUGGCCGGUCCAUCUUUUUUGAUGCGUACUGGACCCAGCCGAGCCUUUCCUUCUGGCUAGCCUUUUGGCGAACCAGGACUUUUACUUUGAAAAAAUUAGAGUGUUCAAAGCAGGCCUUUGCUCGAAUAUAUUAGCAUGGAAUAAUAGGAUAGGACGUUAUGGUUCUAUUUUGUUGGUUUCUAGGACCAUCGUAAUGAUUAAUAGGGACGGUCGGGGGUAUCAGUAUUCAGUUGUCAGAGGUGAAAUUCUUGGAUUUACUGAAGACUAACUACUGCGAAAGCAUUUACCAAGGACGUUUUCAUUAA